CACGGGGGGAGCAAGCGUUGUUCGGAAUCACUGGGCGUAAAGGGCGGGUAGGCGGUCAGGUAAGUGGGAUGUGAAAGCCCUCGGCUCACCCGAGGAUCUGCAUCUCAAACUGCCUGGCUUGAGUAUGGGAGAGGAUGAGGGAAUUCCUGGUGUAGCGGUGAAAUGCGUAGAUAUCGGGAGGAACACCAGUGGCGAAGGCGACUACCUGGCCUGUUCUUGACGCUGAGGCGCGAAAGCUGGGGGAGCAAACGGG
rnacentral:rRNA from 1 species